rnacentral:rRNA from 1 species
UACGGAGGGUGCGAGCGUUUGUCCGGAAUCACUGGGCGUAAAGGGCGCGUAGGCGGCGCGGGGAGUCAACGGUGAAAGCUCGGCGCUCAACGCCGAGUCGGCCGUCGAUACUCCCGUGCUCGAGCACUGUAGAGGGCAGGUGGAAUUCCGGGGUGUAGCGGUGGAAUGCGUAGAGAUCCGGAAGAACACCGGUGGCGCAAGGCGGCCUGACUGGGCCAGGUAGCUGGACGCUGAGGCGCGACAGCGUGGGGAGCGAACAGGAGUUAGAGUA